UACGGAGGGUGCAAACGUUGCUCGGAAUUAUUGGGCGUAAAGCGCACGUAGGCGGCUUUGCAAGUCGGAUGUGAAAUCCCUCGGCUUAACCAAGGAAGUGCAUCCGAAACUGCAGAGCUUGAGUACUUAAGAGGAUCGCGGAAUUCCCGGUGUAGAGGUGAAAUUCGUAGAUAUCGGGAGGAACACCAGUGGCGAAGGCGGCGAUCUGGGAAGAUACUGACGCUGAGGUGCGAAAGCGUGGGGAGCAAACGGG
rnacentral:rRNA from 1 species